AUUGAACGCUGGCGGCGUGCUUGACACAUGCAAGUCGAUCGGUAACAGGUGUAGCAAUACAUGCUGACGAGAGGCGGACGGGUGAGGAAUAUUUGGGAAUCUGCCCAUCAGCGGGGGACAACCCGGGGAAACCCGGGCUAAUACCGCAUACGCUCUACGGAGGAAAGCCGGGGACCGCAAGGCCUGGCACUGAUGGAUGAGCCCAAAUCGGAUUAGCUAGUUGGCGGGGGAACGGCCCACCAAGGCGACGAUCCGUAGCUGGUCUGAGAGGACGAUCAGCCACACCGGAACUGAGACACGGUGCGGACGCCCACGGGAGGCAGCAGUGGGGAAUAUUAGACAAUGGGGGAAACCCUGAUCCAGCGACGCCGCGUGGGUGAAGAAGGCCUGCGGGUUGUAAAGCCCUUUCGGUAGGGACGAAAGCUCUUGCUCUAAUAAUGCAAGAGGUUGACUUAACCUACAUAAGAAGCACCGGCUAACUCUGUGCCAGCCGCCGCCGUAA
rnacentral:rRNA from 1 species